rnacentral:rRNA from 1 species
AUUGAACGCUGGCGGCAGGCCUAACACAUGCAAGUCGAGCGGCAGCACAGGGGGGGUUGCCCCCUGGGUGACGCGCGGGGCACGGGUGUGAAAUGUCCGGGAAACUGCACUAUGGCGGGGGAUAACUAGUGGAAACGGUAGCUCUAACAGCAUAUCGUCCCAACACCAAAGAGCGGGAGAUUCUGGCCCCUUGCCAUCAGGUGUGCGCAGAUGGGAUUAGCUAGUAGGUGGGGUAAUGGCUCACCCAGGCGACGAUCCGUAGCUGGUCUGAGAGGAUGAGCAGCCACACUGGAACUGAGACACGGUCCAGACUCCUACGGGAGGCAGCAGUGGGGAAUAUUGCACAAUGGGCGCAAGCCUGAUGCAGCCAUGCCGCGUGGGUGAAGAAGGCCUUCGGGUUGUAAAGCACUUUCAGCGGGGAAGAAGGUGGGGAGCUUAAUACGUUCAUCUAUUGACGUUACCCGCAGAAGAAGCACCGGCUAACUCCGUG